CAGUUGCCGAGUGAGGGUGUCGUACCUGCGCGCAUGAAUCCCAUGACUGGGCAGCACAGCUGAUGACGCUUGCUAAACUAACUUGAGCAUCAUUCUUUUUUAUAUGAAAAAUGUGGUUAGUGUGGAUUCAAAAAGGAUAUAAAUAAUUUUAUGAGAUAAUUAUUAAGUGCAUUCUUAAAUUAAUGAGCUUAGAUACAAAUGCCGGCCCACACCCGAGAGAAUAUUUGAACACGUCGUGGCAGAGAGCGUACAACUUGUUUUCGGAUGGUGACAGCAGGCUACUCUUCAUACAUCGCCACAUGUCAGCUAAGGUCAGCCGGUUCACAAUGCCCCGUCAGAUACAGUAUAAUGGUCUGGUCGUGUUUAAUGGACACUGUCGGUCGUAACUGUGCCGAGAGGUCUGAUAAACUGUCACAGAAUUCAUUUAAGGUAAAAUAAAUGAUUAUUCAAGAGCUUCCGAGCACUGCGGCUUGAAAUUAGUUAAGUGAAAGCUAGCCUUGACCUAGAAAUGUGGACUGCAAGACUUUACCGUAUGUGAUCUCGAACUUCGCUGUCGCUGAACCCAAAACCUGGGUGUGGGUGAUCAAAUGUUCGAUGCGAUGACGAGACGCUGCGUCAAAGCUUCGAUGUCGAAAGCAGAACAAACAAACCAAUGUUCGUGUGCACAUCAGACUAGAUUUACUCGGACAAAACAAGAGCGCCGUUGUAAACAAGCUGAUGUUUGUGAACGCGUGCUUCAAAGCAGUGCAUCAAGCUUGCAAAUGACGACCAAACAGAUAGUCUAUUCAUCCAGGAAAGAAUUUCAUACCUACCAUCACCACCACCGGUUGAUGCCGCUGUUUCAGAAGCCUGCCCAUGCGAUGGACUUGAAUAAUUUUGUUGCCUAUAUUCGUGAACUAGAAAAACGUGUGCUUUUUUCUGUGAGAAAUCUAAGUGCCUACACAAGCUCAAAAGUUCGUGUUUCGUGCAAGUUUUUGGUGGAAAAUAGCCCAAAAUCUUUAAGUUCAAUAGGAAGACUAAAAUCUUUAAAUUCUUCGUGGACAUCGCCGUUCCUAAUGCUGCUUCUGUUGCUGCUGUGCAGCGCUGUAAUCGAAUCUGCAAAUCUAUCAGAAAGUCCGAAAAGUUUACAAGGGAAGCCUGGCACUGACGCUGAGAAUCCCGAGUUCGUCAUCUCUCCUGCCGACGCCUACAUCGUCAAGAAUAAACCUGCUACGCUGCAGUGCCGUGCUGCACAUGCUG